CAGUGUGGCUUCUUUACACUUGAUCAACAACACGACAAACACAUGAGCACGUGUGCACGGAUACACACUGGGAGUUAUUUCACAUUUGUUUUUGCUUGGACGGAUUUAAUGCAGCUGUGGCGAAGGGAGGAUUAUCUUUGAGGUCAUGUCAGUUCUAAAAGGCCACAGCUGCCGGGGAUAAUGACUCAGGGCUUCUGCUUGCUUACGCCUGAAUUUUCUUCUUUCGCUGACGCACAGACAUGCACACACAGACACACACAAAUGCAUUUUUCAUAUUUCAAUACUCCAGAGUCUGGCCCCUGCUCUAUAUUUUUCGUCCAGCAGCAGCAGCAGCAGCAGCAGCAGCAGCAGCAAACAAUUUGAAGGCACAGACAUGCACAGCUAAAGCAGAGUCACAUCUUGCAUUGUCUGCUUUGCUUCACAGGGAGUCCUUUUAAUUGGAUACUUGGUCAGAAGGCUUUGCUUUCGGUUGAUGUGGUCACGUGACGACGAGCCGGUUCCUUCCUGGUCUUCUGUGAAGGUGACAGCGCGAAGCAAACUGCGCACCGCGAAGUAACGUCAGACACCUGAAAAGUUUGAGAUGUCGACCGUGUCUGCCGCCGCUGCGGAUCCCGCCGCCAUCACCGAGGGCGGCGAGCAGAAGAAGCCGCUCAAGCCGUGCUGCGCUUGUCCUGAAACCAAGAAAGUCAGAGACGCAUGCAUCAUUGAAAAGGGUGAAGAGAACUGCACGGAACUCAUCGAGGCUCACAAAGACUGCAUGAGGCAACUGGGAUUCAAGAUUUAAACGUUUUGUUCUGGGUGUAUGUGUGUGAUGUGUGCCACCUUUUCAUCCGUUCCUCCCUCAUCAAAAUGAACGACGACAGCCCGCAAAGUUUUUGGAAAAACAAAACUUCUCUUUUUAUUUAUUUUUUUCUUAUUUGUGAUGAUCACUGCAGUUGAAAUUUAAAUAAAAGUUCUAUGCAAUCAUC